rnacentral:rRNA from 1 species
AACGAACGCUGGCGGCAGGCCUAACACAUGCAAGUCGAACGCUCCGCAAGGGGAGUGGCGCACGGGUGAGUAACACGUGGGAACCUACCUUCUGGUACGGAACAACCAAGGGAAACUUUGGCUAAGACCGUAUACGACCUCCGGGUGAGAGAUUGAUCGCCGGAAGAGGGGCCCGCGUCCGAUUAGGUAGUUGGUGAGGUAACGGCUCACCAAGCCUUCGAUCGGUAGCUGGUCUGAGAGGAUGACCAGCCACACUGGGACUGAGACACGGCCCAGACUCCUACGGGAGGCAGCAGUGGGGAAUAUUGGACAAUGGGCGCAAGCCUGAUCCAGCCAUGCCGCGUGAGUGAUGAAGGCCUUCGGUU